GUACUUCCCUGACAAGGGGAAUACUGCUAUCAACAAGUUAGUUUCCCCAGGGUUAUGCUCUUCCAGUGCACAUUUCGGUUGGGUUUUACCCCUGUGAUCUCCCCAAGAGUGGCAAACUCAACUGCAGAAUUUAUGGUAUUUACAUAAUGUCACUGGAGGCAAAG